rnacentral:rRNA from 1 species
AGGCCUAAUACAUGCAAGUCGAACGGUAACAGGGAGAAGCUUGCUUCUCUGCUGACGAGUGGCGGACGGGUGAGUAAGAUCUGGGAAACUGCCCGACAGAGGGGGACAACAGAUGGAAACGUCUGCUGAUACCGCAUAUACCCUGAGGGGGAAAGCAGCGAUGCGCUGUCGGAUGUGCCCAGAGGGGAUUAGCCUGUAGGUGAGGUAAGAGCUCACCUAAGCUGCGAUCUCUAGCUGGUCUGAGAGGAUGACCAGCCACAUCGGGACUGAGACACGGCCCGGACUCCUACGGGAGGCAGCAGUAGGGAAUAUUGCACAAUGGGGGAAACCCUGAUGCAGCCAUGCCGCGUGUGUGAAGAAGGCCUUCGGGUUGUAAAGCACUUUCAGAGGGGAGGAAACAAUGACGUUACCCUCAGAAGAAGCACCGGCUGACUCCGUGCCAGCAGCCGCGGUAAUACGGAGGGUGCGAGCGUUAAUCGGAAUAACUGGGCGUAAAGGGCAUGCAGGCGGGACGGUAAGUAGGGUGUGAAAUACCGGGGCUUAACCUCGGGGCUGCAUUUUAAACUGCCGUUCUUGAGUAUUGCAGGGAGAGACGGAAUUCCUGGUGUAGCGGUGGAAUGCGUAGAGAUCAGGAAGAACACCGGAGGCGAAGGCGGUCUCUUGGGCAAAUACUGACGCUGAGAUGCGAAAGCGCGGGAAGCAAACAGGAUUAGAUACCCUGGUAGUCCGCGCCGUAAACGAUGUCGAUUGGGAGUCCGAACUUAGGUUUGGGUUCCGGAGCAAACGCGUUAAAUCGACCGCCUGGGGAGUAC